CCUGAACAGUAUAAAGCAAUUGAUACUCAGGUUUGUUUAAUCCUUCAUAUAUUAAUUCUUAUGCAGCAUUUCAUGUUUGUAUGUACUAAUAUGAUAAUUCAAGUGUUCAGUAAAGAAUAGCAGGAACAUAAUUGCAUCAUGCCUUAUCUUCUGCAAAGCUUUGGUAUGUCAGGCUAUUCGAGUUCAUUUGAGCAUUGGAAACUAACCUCGAGCUGAGUUUCAUCAUAUUGGAAUUCAGUUGAGCAUUGUCAUUUGUUUUGUCAGACUAUUCGAAUUGCAAUCCUGCUCAUAGUAUCUUUGUUGCAUUUAGUCAGUUGGAAUAUCAUAGUAAAAGAACAUACAGUUAGAUUUAGCACUUACGUAGUUCAGUGUCAUAGUUUCCAUAAUAGUUGAAAACUAUCAUCAUGUGACCUUAUUUCUCUGCAUAAUCCUCCAAACAAUGAUUUCAAGAUGGCAAUGCCACAUAGAAAAAGCCAUAAGGUUUCACAAGGAUAACGAAAUUACAUUGAAAGAAUCAAUCAGAAUGUUAGCACGAACCCUGUCGUGUGUUGCAAGAAUCGAUCAGUGUGGAGAAUAUUUGUGAGAACUUAAAGCAAGAACAACAUCGAGAAAAAGAUAUCCCAAAAUGUAUGAAUUCCAAAUAAAGUACUCAGAUUGGAUGGUCAUUGGGUGCAUUGCCUGGUGAUUUCGUGUGAUUGCCUCCAUUGGUGAUGGAAGCUUCCAGGAACAUGGGUCUUUAUUCAGCAAGCAAAUAACAGAGGAUCAAAUUUUGUGGAGCUUAAAUAUGUUGAGAAAUAAAUUUAACUAGGAUUCUCUUUUAGGGUUUUCCUUGAGUGGACAAAGUUAAGGACUUGUGGUUUUUCUAAAUAUAGAAACACGCAUCAUAUAUAAUGUGUCGGACAGAGCAGAUAUGUACCUAGGUGCCUCUUCCAUGUUUGGCCUUUAAGCAACGUCUUUUGGAUUCCAUAAUAUGCUCCUUUUCAGUAGCUUAUGUAAUUUAUUAUAUGUCAUCAUGAUUUAUUGUA